rnacentral:rRNA from 1 species
UGAGGAAUAUUGGUCAAUGGGCGGGAACCUGAACCAGCCAAGCCGCGUGAGGGAAGAAGGCCCUAUGGGUCGUAAACCUCUUUUGUCAGGGAACAAAAGCGAGUAUGUAUACUAGUCUGAGUGUACCUGAAGAAAAAGCAUCGGCUAACUCCGUGCCAGCAGCCGCGGUAAUACGGAGGAUGCGAGCGUUAUCCGGAUUUAUUGGGUUUAAAGGGUGCGUAGGCGGCGAUGCAAGUCAGCGGUAAAAGCCCGGGGCUCAACCCCGGCGAGCCGUUGAAACUGCAGUGCUAGAGAAGGCGAGAGGUACGCGGAAUGCGCAGUGUAGCGGUGAAAUGCUUAGAUAUUGCGCAGAACUCCGAUUGCGAAGGCAGCGUACUGGCGCCUGACUGACGCUGAGGCACGAAAGCGUGGGGAUCGAACAGGAUUAGAUACCC